rnacentral:lncRNA from 1 species
GGGUUUCCUAAUGUUAAGUCAAUUGCAUUGAGCACAUUAGUGCAAGCACCGAUCUGAAGGGCAUUUCUAGGACAAGUGCCUUGAGCAGUAGUGUAAGUGAAGAAGAGGAGGUUAAGGAAAAGGAAGAGUGCAAGAGAGGUUCUUGGAGCCAUUUGUUUGUGUACCAGAAAAACUCUGAAACAAAAUCUCAGGAAGUAGUAGUGUGUUUAUAUUCUUUGAGAAGGGUGGAGAUAAAUUAUGGGAGUUAUAGCGGAUAUUUAUAGAAUUUUCUGUAGGAGAGUCAUAAAUUGGUUUCUACAAGAGAUUAGUUGACUAUUUUUUUUCAUAUUUAUGAGUCGACUAUAAUAAGUAGACGCAAUAGUUAUUGUCUAAUUAGUUGGCAAAUCAUAAAAAGGAAUAUUGUACAAAUUAUAGAGUAGAGUAAACUACUAUUAUAAGUUUGUUAGCCAUUCUACCCUGUCUCCACGUUUAAACAAAACAUAUAAUCAAGAAUAUUAUUUACGAUUUAUAACUUUUGACUGUUUUAUAAUUUGAAGUUUAGAAAUAAAUAGUACAAUCUUAAUUUACAAAAUCUACAAAUGUUUAUGUGGAAGCGGCAGGUUCAAAGAUGAUACAGACUAAUAUCAAUAGCAGUGGGAGCCGUGACAAAAUGAAAAGAUAUAAUCGUUUUGUUUGUUGUUUAACGUUCAAACAUAUUUUUGAUGACAUACGUAAUUUCACAUGAGUUCAUUAUAUAUGAUUUUAUUGCAGUGUAUUAAGAGAUACACAAGAUCGACCAUAUCUUGGUUUAAAAUAUCAUGACUAUUCAAGAAAAUUGAAGAAACUGACCACAUAUAUACUAUAUUUGAAACUGGCUAUAUUACUCAAUACCACAGUUUACAAAUUUACGUUCCGAAGCUCGUACCACCGUUCAGAACAGCAGAUCCAAUUACAUUAUUAGGAUGCAGAACGAACCACUUUCCACCAGACGUCAAACCUCUCUUCCGGAAGCUCGCACCGCCAAAGACGAAGGUAAAUAUAUGGUGGAGGAAACAUGUUACCGGUUCAGGCGCCGUUGACGUGAAUGACGUGCCAAAUCUCUGAAAACCAAAAACCAAAAACCAAAUCUGACGGCUCACUUCAGCCCUAAAAGCCAGCCCUUCCGCAUCCAUCACACUAUGAGUCUUGUUGCUGCGCCAUAAAAUGCAUGUUGCUGUCACCAUCGACCUCAAACAAUUCUUCAUAUAAGAUCUCGACAAACAUAAAAAACUUGUUUAUAGACUAGGGUUAAGCAGAUGGAUAAAAAGAAUAAUGAGAAAGAAAAUUAUGGUUGGAGGAGGAAACCUCCGGCACCAACCAGAGCCAGAACAGAGCUAGCUUUUUACUUUGCUUUUUGUCUACACGGAGCGACAGAAAAAAGAAAAAUAUCGUUCAAAUACAGAAGAUGAAAUUUUGGCUGAUUAAAAAAUAUUCAAAAGAGAAAAAGAAAAAAUUAAAUUGAGAUAUUUUUGUUCAUGAAGUUUUCAUAAUGAUUGUCUUUACUUAUUUCAUUUAUCAAUAAAUACGUCAGAAAAUUAUAUUAAAUAUUUAUAAUGAUUUCUCAUAGACUAAACAAUUUAAAUUCAUGCGGCUUCAUUAUAUAAUUACAGGGAUAAAUAAUUUCGUUAAAAUUAUAUAUGUGCUACGUCGCACCCUCAACCUACUAUACCAAUCUCAAUCUGUAAGAGUGAUUAGAAUGGAAUAAUUGUUCUUUAUUCCUUCAUGAUAGGUUGUUCACGGCAUGAACAUAUAUUAUCUUUCAACGAAUUCUAUUUCAUUGGCAGACUAGUAUCAUUAUUUAGUCUAAGCAUAAUCUCACAUGAAGAAACAUUCAUGGUUCAUUUUGCAUUUGUUAUAUAUAUCCAUGCCAUAUGGACGGACUUAUCAUACAAUAUCCGUAUGUUUGUCAAUAAUAUAUAUUAGUAAGUUUCAACGAGAGCAAUAAUACAUCGACAGUUUCAAAACAAACUAUGCCUUUUCAUGAAUAGACUUCUUGUAUUAAUGUUCCGAGAACCCGAACGAGUGUCCUUGAAACCCAUAAGGCGACAAUGGGCCCACGAAGUUCCAUGGCCAAUGCCGACAGCAAGAGACGAUCCAUGACCAGCUCAAGAGACUGUCCAUGCCGAGCUGAUACUUUGAAACUACAAUAUAAAAGAGGUCAAAGCAUUUAAUACUAUCAUAUAGGCAUAUGAACCUCAUCAGAGAUCACGUUUCCAUUAUGUUCCACUCUAAGACCUUUGAAAGAGAGAUCAAAGACUACGAGAAGAGGACACGGACACAGAUCCGGCUUCGAAACCUCAGUGAAAUGCCAAUCAAACCAGUAGAAACCUGAUAUUAUGAUACUUGAAACCCAUAUAUUUGCUUUAUCUGGUUUUCAAUCUUCAACAAGAACUAAUCCAAACCAUAGCUCAUCUCAAAUCACAAACCUUAAUAGCCAUGGAACCACAAAACCAAAGAAUAGAUCAAAUUCUUUGCCAUAAGAAUAAGUGAGGAGAUCAUCGGUUACGUCGCACUCUCCAUUCGCGCCCUAGCUAUAUUUCUAAACGAAUAUUCAAGUAUUAACUUAUAAUCAAUAAUUAUAAUCUAUUAUAUAAUAGGAGAGUUUCUCUCCUCCUGAUGCGACACGUCAGCGGUUUGUGGGUUCCACUUUUUAAAAGUAUGAAAAAAUGUCAAAUAUGUGGCUCGAACCAGGGUUAUUGAGAUAUAAGCACCCACAACUAUACCAUUGCACUAAAGGAUACUUUGUACAUUGACGGUCGAAACUAAUAUAUAUUAGAAAGGUGGAAAACUAAUAUAACAUUGUGGUCUCCACCUCUUUUUUUUUUUUUUAAGUGAUGGGUAACGAAUGGACUUCGAAAAAAAAUGGGCUUUGGGCUUAUUGAUUUUCUGUUUAUUAGGCUUUGUAUCUGUCCAAAGUGGUGAUACUGACAAAGCUAAGAAGAUUAGGGAAGUCGCCAUCUUCACCAUCUCCUUCGUCGUUUGCGAUUCCCCUUCCGGCAAUCAACUAUUAUGGUCAAUCUUUAAGGCUCUACGCACGUUUUGCGCCUACCAAACGCUUAGUUUCUCCUCUAACGCCUUCAGAGCUCUCAUAUAUAUAGAAUCCCUCGAGGUAAAAGCUCCAUCUUGUCUCAAACUUUUCUUUCUCAGUUUUUCAAUCGCUUUACUUUCUCACAUCUGGACUUUCCAGCUGCUCCAGCCGCUUCAGCAUUAACAAGAAUGGAGAGUUUAUGGGCAUCACCAUUCUCCUCCUUGAUGAACUGGUGAUGAUUGUUUCUAAUUUAUUUUUUAUCACUUUAACUCUUCUUUGCUUAUUCUUUGUUCAUAUAUGAAACAUGUCUUCAUCUUUUUGUUUUGGUUUUGUCUAUAAGUUUUUUUAUGAACAACUAAUGAUUUUUCUCUGUUUUUCUUACAGGAUUUUGUGAUCUACGGUUUCAUCUCUGCAAUCUCCAAACAAAACAGGAAAACUGAAUGAAUUAUGUUUUUAGCAACCGAAUCUAAAAGAAAUAAAAGACAUCUUACUUAACAAAUUAAAACCUUUUCUUUUGCAGAUUCCGACGACGACGACGAAGCACCCGAGGACUGACGACAAUGGAAUGAUGCGGACGAAGCCUAACUGAUGUAAGUAAACUCCUCUUCAAUAACACAUCACACUAUUAUCGCUCCCCAAUCUCACAAACUUAAGCUCUAAUCAUGCCAGGGAUCCCACAGGUCAUGCUGUCCCGACGACGGAGAAAAAAAAAGAAAGAUAACCUAACGUUUUUUUUAUUUUUAGUUUUUAAGUUCAAAUCAUGUUUUAGACAUAAAGCCCAACAUAAUUUGAGCCCAAACAUUUUAAACCCACAAUUACUUUUUCAUAAUAUAAAAACGUCAACUUUCGUUUAUGUUUUGUUAAACUAUUUUAAUCUUUAUGUUUUGUUAAACUAUUUCACACAAAGGCAGAUCUCCUUAGAAGGGGAGCCACUCGCCACGAUGCUUCCAGUUUCCCCAUUCUUGAAACUCUUAUAAACCACAAAGCCAAUAUAAGAGCUCUGUUUCAAUCCAACGGCUGGAUUUUGUCACAAACCACCCCUAAGCCUAAAGAGGGAAGAGAAGUGGAGUGCUGCGUUUUGGAAGAUGGUUACUUGGAGUUUACAAGAUGAAGAUGGAACCCGUGACGAGGAAGACGAGGAGAAGUGUUACUUGGAAUAUCCUAAGUCCUAACGUUGAGGAUGUAGACAAUGUGUGAUCUUAGCGAUGAAAAUUAGUGUAGCUUUAAAAUAUGCUACUACGGUCCUUGAGCUCCCUAACAAGUACUAGCAAACAAUGUGUAUUUUGAAAAAAUAAAAUAAUUUUGUAAUGCAAGUAGUUUGAAACUUUGAGUAUUUAUUCAAACAACGGAUAUAUACAAAGUUGAUAACUUGAUAUGGAUCUCCAAAUAAGUUGGUGCUACGCUAUCAUAAUAUCUGUCUUUUUAAGCUUCUUCAUCUUCUUCUCUUUCUCUUUCCGUUGUUCCACGCUCUCUGUUUCAUGUUUAGCUCUCUGUUUCAUGUUUAGGGCUUUUUUAUAUUCUCUAUAUUUCACCUUAAUUAUACUUUUUGAAUUUUCCUUCCAUUUUGGGAGGUGUCUCUAACUUGAGUUAAUCGUCAAAAGCUAGGAUCAAUUUUGUUGUCUUACUUCCGAUAAAUUUUAUUCUUUAAUUUGCACAAAUCUUAAACAACACCAACAUCCCGUAAAUCAUACCAAAGUGGUGAUACUGACAAAGCUAAGAAGAUUAGGGAAGUCGCCAUCUUCACCAUCUCCUUCGUCGUUUGCGAUUCCCCUUCCGGCAAUCAACUAUUAUGGUCAAUCUUUAAGGCUCUACGCACGUUUUGCGCCUACCAAACGCUUAGUUUCUCCUCUAACGCCUUCAGAGCUCUCAUAUAUAUAGAAUCCCUCGAGGUAAAAGCUCCAUCUUGUCUCAAACUUUUCUUUCUCAGUUUUUCAAUCGCUUUACUUUCUCACAUCUGUCACAAAAAUGACUUAUCCAGCUGCUCCAGCCGCUUCAGCCGUCGUUCCCUACUCCACCUUCAACUCCCUCCGGCGUUAGUGUUGGUCGGCUCAUCCGAUUCUAGGAUUUCAGGAACAUUAACAAGAAUGGAGAGUUUAUGGGCAUCACCAUUCUCCUCCUUGAUGAACUGGUGAUGAUUGUUUCUAAUUUAUUUUUUAUCACUUUAACUCUUCUUUGCUUAUUCUUUGUUCAUAUAUGAAACAUGUCUUCAUCUUUUUGUUUUGGUUUUGUCUAUAAGUUUUUUUAUGAACAACUAAUGAUUUUUCUCUGUUUUUCUUACAGGAUUUUGUGAUCUACGGUUUCAUCUCUGCAAUCUCCAAACAAAACAGGAAAACUGAAUGAAUUAUGUUUUUAGCAACCGAAUCUAAAAGAAAUAAAAGACAUCUUACUUAACAAAUUAAAACCUUUUCUUUUGCAGAUUCCGACGACGACGACGAAGCACCCGAGGACUGACGACAAUGGAAUGAUGCGGACGAAGCCUAACUGAUGUAAGUAAACUCCUCUUCAAUAACACAUCACACUAUUAUCGCUCCCCAAUCUCACAAACUUAAGCUCUAAUCAUGCCAGGGAUCCCACAGGUCAUGCUGUCCCGACGACGGAGAAAAAAAAAGAAAGAUAACCUAACGUUUUUUUUAUUUUUAGUUUUUAAGUUCAAAUCAUGUUUUAGACAUAAAGCCCAACAUAAUUUGAGCCCAAACAUUUUAAACCCACAAUUACUUUUUCAUAAUAUAAAAACGUCAACUUUCGUUUAUGUUUUGUUAAACUAUUUUAAUCUUUAUGUUUUGUUAAACUAUUUCACACAAAGGCAGAUCUCCUUAGAAGGGGAGCCACUCGCCACGAUGCUUCCAGUUUCCCCAUUCUUGAAACUCUUAUAAACCACAAAGCCAAUAUAAGAGCUCUGUUUCAAUCCAACGGCUGGAUUUUGUCACAAACCACCCCUAAGCCUAAAGAGGGAAGAGAAGUGGAGUGCUGCGUUUUGGAAGAUGGUUACUUGGAGUUUACAAGAUGAAGAUGGAACCCGUGACGAGGAAGACGAGGAGAAGUGUUACUUGGAAUAUCCUAAGUCCUAACGUUGAGGAUGUAGACAAUGUGUGAUCUUAGCGAUAAAAAUUAGUGUAGCUUUAAAAUAUGCUACUACGGUCCUUGAGCUCCCUAACAAGUACUAGCAAACAAUGUGUAUUUUGAAAAAAUAAAAUAAUUUUGUAAUGCAAGUAGUUUGAAACUUUGAGUAUUUAUUCAAACAACGGAUAUAUACAAAGUUGAUAACUUGAUAUGGAUCUCCAAAUAAGUUGGUGCUACGCUAUCAUAAUAUCUGUCUUUUUAAGCUUCUUCAUCUUCUUCUCUUUCUCUUUCCGUUGUUCCACGCUCUCUGUUUCAUGUUUAGCUCUCUGUUUCAUGUUUAGGGCUUUUUUAUAUUCUCUAUAUUUCACCUUAAUUAUACUUUUUGAAUUUUCCUUCCAUUUUGGGAGGUGUCUCUAACUUGAGUUAAUCGUCAAAAGCUAGGAUCAAUUUUGUUGUCUUACUUCCGAUAAAUUUUAUUCUUUAAUUUGCACAAAUCUUAAACAACACCAACAUCCCGUAAAUCAUACCCUCCCCCCCCCCCCCCACCAAUAUCCAAAGUAACCAGCUCCGCGCUUGCGCGGGGUCUCAGCACCUAGUUUAUAUAAUAAGAUAGUUAAAAAUGCUCUUAGCAACACAUAAUUUUUAUAUAACUUGGUAUUCUUAUACCAUAUGGAUACAGAGUUAGAAUCAAACCAUGAUAUCCUUUUAACCUUUUUAGAUCGUCAAUGGCACAUGAGCGAGACCACUGUUCUAUUUCUUCACAAAACUGAUGCACAUUUGCCAAAAAAAAAAUAUUUCUUGCAUACAUAUAUAUAAAUACAUAUUUCUUUUAUAACAUCACGAUUUCGUCUUUUAGUUACCAGUACAACAAGUUUGUAGUUAUCUAUAGUAAUAAUAACUGCACUAUUAUGUAGUUUGAUAAAAGUGUAUUAAAGUAAUGUAGUAGUGACUACAUAUAUUUCUUCCCUUUUAUGACAACAAUUUUGGUUUGGAGAUAGUUCGAUCAGAGUAGAGCCAAAAUGUAUUCAGCUCAAUUAAGCUAGAAAUACUCUCCCCCGUUUCAAAAUGUUAUAUAUUUUAGACUUUUCACACAUGUUAAUAAAACACUUUAAUUUUCAUAAUUUUUGUGAUUAUUUUUCCCAUAAUUUUAAGUUUUUUGAAGUUUGCAAUUAGAUAAUAAAACAUGAAUUGAAAAUCCAAAAAUUAGAUCAUUUUGAAACAAAUUUUUUUUCUAUAAUAUGGAAUUUUAUGAAACAGAACGAGUAUUUUGUUUCCAUUUCGUUACCAAAAAUUAAGCACAUGCCAUUAAUUAAUGCUUACAACAGAAUUACUAAACCGUGUUGUUUUCAGUGAGAUCGUAUCAUUUUACCUUGCUUUUUUCGAUACACAUAUAAGCCCGAUAUAGAUAACAACACCGAUUGAAGCUUUUAUUAAUCAAAUUCGAACGAAAAGUUUUACAAACGAAGGUAAGGAAGAACAAUGAAGUAAAAGGGCAACGAACAUGGCGAUUACACACACAAACCCAUUAUUGCAUGAGAACGUUACACUCGUCAUUUUAUUCAAUCGAAGGAAGUUACAAAUACAAAAGAAAUCACCAGUUAAAAAGCAAAAGACGACAGGCAACAAGUUCAACCUUUAUUUUUUCGGUAUGUCUUCAGAUAUCUCAUACGUAUUCAACUUACGGGCAUUGGAAACUUGGUGGAGCAAAUCUGCUACAAGCAUUUAAAAGUACACUGAUAUCGAUGGGAAGGUGAACGUUGAUGCCAAGAACGUUAACGUCGAGCGCGGUACAGAGACAGACUGCAGCCUCAAGGUCAGCCAAGCCUGCAAUGAGCGAGCAGCACGGCGGUACUGGUGGCGGUGGGUUUCCUAAUGUUAAGUCAAUUGCAUUGAGCACAUUAGUGCAAGCACCGAUCUGAAGGGCAUUUCUAGGACAAGUGCCUUGAGCAGUAGUGUAAGUGAAGAAGAGGAGGUUAAAGAAAAGGAAGAGUGCAAGAGAGGUUCUUGGAGCCAUUUGUUUGUGUACCAGAAAAACUCUGAAACAAAAUCUCAGGAAGUAGUAGUGUGUUUAUAUUCUUUG